GCGCACGUGAGCGUCCGCCACGCCGCUUUCUAAUUUUAGGCGGGCCGUCCGCGCGGGUCGCGCGAGGAAUAGGAAAGUGUGAAAAUCGUCUUGAAGAUAUAUGAAUGGAAAAUUGCUGCGGAUCAAGCCCAGGCAGUUAUACAAAUUGGUCAGGUGCUCUGCCACUGAGCUUCAUACUUCCAGCUGAACGAAACUCCAAUUCCAGCUGUCAUCAAGACCUGCUCAAACAUUGGCAGAUAUUUGAACUUGAGGCAUAGGGAAACAAAAGUUCCUGAACAGUGACCACUACCCAGGUUGGGACAGCUAAGAUGGAAUUUUAAGCCUCAAAGUAAUAACUGUUGUGUGAACUGUACCAACCAAGGGUGCUCUGCUUGCUCAUCCCUAUUCCAUCGCUGGUCACACAUUGCUGUCAAGACUGGAUGUGUCACUGAGAGGGGAAGCUGUGAUCCCAGCUCCCAAAGCC